rnacentral:rRNA from 1 species
GAUGAACGCUGGCGGCGUGCCUAAUACAUGCAAGUCGAGCGAACCACUUCGGUGGUGAGCGGCGAACGGGUGAGUAACACGUAGGUUAUCUGCCCAUCAGACGGGGACAACGAUUGGAAACGAUCGCUAAUACCGGAUAGGACGAAAGUUUAAAGGUGCUUCGGCACCACUGAUGGAUGAGCCUGCGGCGCAUUAGCUAGUUGGUAGGUAAAGGCCUACCAAGGCGACGAUGCGUAGCCGACCUGAGAGGGUGAACGGCCACACUGGGACUGAGACACGGCCCAGACACCUACGGGUGGCAG